CUGCGGAUUUGGACUGUUCCACUGGAUUAUUUUGCUGUAAAAAUAAAUAAAUAAAAUAAGAGAGAGAGAGAGAAAAGAUCUCAACUAAAGCGAUCAUGUGCACCCAGAUACACACCCACUUGGGAACGUUCAUCUUUGUGAUGAUGUUUCUUACAGUGUCUCCGUUAUCUAAUCACCAUGCACUUGUGAAAGUAUACGAUCCCGUCAUGCUCAUCUGCAACGGUACAUGUUCGGGUGAUGUUUCAUGGAUGUUCUCGGUGCGGACUGAAAUACUUGUGAGUGAAUGUAAGAGGAGCACCUGUGUUGAA